rnacentral:rRNA from 1 species
UACGUAGGGGACGAGCGUUGUCCGGAUUCAUUGGGCGUAAAGCGCGCGUAGGCGGCUCGGUAAGUCGGUCGUGAAAUGCCGGGGCUCAACCCCGGGACUGCGUCCGAUACUCCCGAGCUGGAGGCAGGUAGGGGAGAUCGGAAUUCCUGGUGUAGCGGUGAAAUGCGCAGAUAUCAGGAGGAACACCGGUGGCGAAGGCGGUUCUCUGGGACGGUACUGACGCUGAGACGCGAAAGCGUGGGUAGCAAACAGG